GGGCGUGWGCWGCUACCAUGCAGUCGAGCGGCAGCACGGGUACUUGUACCUGGUGGCGAGCGGCGGACRGGUGAGUAAUGCCUAGGAAUCUGCCUAGUAGUGGGGGAUAACGUCYGGAAACGGGCGCUAAUACCGCAUACGUCCUACGGGAGAAAGUGGGGGAUCUUCGGACCUCACGCUAUUAGAUGAGCCUAGGUCGGAUUAGCUAGUUGGUGAGGUAAUGGCUCACCAAGGCUACGAUCCGUAACUGGUCUGAGAGGAUGAUCAGUCACACUGGAACUGAGACACGGUCCAGACUCCUACGGGAGGCAGCAGUGGGGAAUAUUGGACAAUGGGCGAAAGCCUGAUCCAGCCAUGCCGCGUGUGUGAAGAAGGUCUUCGGAUUGUAAAGCACUUUAAGUUGGGAGGAAGGGCAGUUACCUAAUACGUGAUUGUUUUGACGUUACCGACAGAAUAAGCACCGGCUAACUCUGUGCCAGCAGCCGCGGUAAUACAGAGGGUGCAAGCGUUAAUCGGAAUUACUGGGCGUAAAGCGCGCGUAGGUGGUUUGUUAAGUUGAAUGUGAAAGCCCCGGGCUCAACCUGGGAACUGCAUCCAAAACUGGCAAGCUAGAGUAUGGUAGAGGGUGGUGGAAUUUCCUGUGUAGCGGUGAAAUGCGUAGAUAUAGGAAGGAACACCAGUGGCGAAGGCGACCACCUGGACUGAUACUGACACUGAGGUGCGAAAGCGUGGGGAGCAAACAGGAUUAGAUACCCUGGUAGUCCACGCCGUAAACGAUGUCAACUAGCCGUUGGGAGCCUUGAGCUCUUAGUGGCGCAGCUAACGCAUUAAGUUGACCGCCUGGGGAGUACGGCCGCAAGGUUAAACUCAAUGAAUUGACGGGGCCCGCACAGCGUGGAGCAUGUGGUUUAAUUCGAAGCACGCGAGAACCUUACAGCCUUGACAUCCAAUGACUUUCUAGAGAUAGAUUGUGCCUUCGGACAUUGAGACAGUGCUGCA
rnacentral:rRNA from 1 species